rnacentral:tRNA from 1 species
GGUGUCAUCGCAUAGUGGUCUAUUGCGAAAGUUUACUAAACUUCUGUCCUUCGGACGCGUAGGUUCGAAUCCUACUGACAUCU